GCAGAUUUUUAAAAUUAUAUUAGGUGGCAAUCUAAUUCAUUUACUCUUAUUCACUUCUUUAAACACACAGAUAAGGACAGUUGAUCUUACCACAUCCUGAUUAUCUAGGAACAAUGGAGGAGAGCUAAAUGACUUCUUCCAGAGGACAGCCUAAGCAUGAGGAUGUUACCAUGCCGAUGUAUGAACAACUGUGUCCUGUAAGAUUUAUUUUG
rnacentral:lncRNA from 1 species